UAUGGUUGUGCCAGCCGCCGCGGUAAUACGGAGGAUGCGAGCGUUAUCCGGAUUUAUUGGGUUUAAAGGGUGCGUAGGCGGCACGCCAAGUCAGCGGUGAAAUUUUCGGGCUCAACCCGGACUGUGCCGUUGAAACUGGCGAGCUAGAGUGCACAAGAGGCAGGCGGAAUGCGUGGUGUAGCGGUGAAAUGCAUAGAUAUCACGCAGAACCCCGAUUGCGAAGGCAGCCUGCUAGGGUGCGACAGACGCUGAGGCACGAAAGCGUGGGUAUCGAACAGG
rnacentral:rRNA from 1 species